GGAAAGGAGGUGGCAGCGGCUUGGAGGAAACCUACCUAGGGCAUGCACGCCAAGGAUUAUAAAGAGGGCUAGGGGGGGCGCCUCGACAUCCGUGAGCCACAGCGUCAGCCCUCUGUCUCGCUCUCUCUCUGAAAGACUUACGGAAAGGAGCGGGAGGAGGAAGACGGCGCCAACAGGAAGGGACGGGGGAUGGGCUACGCGCGAGAGAAGGCUACUCGGCCAGCGAGGAGGAGUAAGCCCACUCAGUGGCGCUAGGUAAGAAAGAAAAACCACUGGGUUUUUCUAUUUUAAAACAAAAGCCAUAAAACAAAUAAACUCCUAGGUAAACUAUGGCUCCAAAAUAAAAUGAAAAAAACCUGGUCAUAAGGAAAUUAUGACCUAAUUAAAUAAAAUGACAAGAGGAUUUUUGGAGCUAAGAAAUAUUUACAAAACAUAAUUAAUUAAUCUGUUUUGUGAAUAAACACCCCUCUCAAACAUAGUUUUAAAACACCUA
rnacentral:lncRNA from 1 species